UGUUUAUGUGCGUGUGUACGUGUGUGUGUAUAUAUAUAUAUGUACUCACACACACACACACACACACACACAAACAUACACAUAU
rnacentral:miRNA from 1 species